rnacentral:rRNA from 1 species
AUUGAACGCUGGCGGCAUGCUUUACACAUGCAAGUCGAACGGUAACAGGCCGCAAGGUGCUGACGAGUGGCGAACGGGUGAGUAAUGCAUCGGAACGUGCCCAGUCGUGGGGGAUAACUACUCGAAAGAGUAGCUAAUACCGCAUACGAUCUAUGGAUGAAAGCGGGGGACCGUAAGGCCUCGCGCGAUUGGAGCGGCCGAUGUCAGAUUAGGUAGUUGGUGGGGUAAAGGCUCACCAAGCCAACGAUCUGUAGCUGGUCUGAGAGGACGACCAGCCACACUGGGACUGAGACACGGCCCAGACUCCUACGGGAGGCAGCAGUGGAGAAUUUUGGACAAUGGGCGCAAGCCUGAUCCAGCAAUGCCACGUGCAGGAAGAAGGCCUUCGGGUUGUAAACUGCUUUUGUACGGAACGAAACGGCUCUGGUUAAUACCCGGGGCUAAUGACGGUACCGUAAGAAUAAGCACCGGCUAACUACGUG